CCUACUGGAGACAUCAUUGAGGCAUCUUGGUCAAUGGCCGAGAGGCUGAACCAGCAAAGUCGCGUGAGGUCCUCCUUCCCUCCUUUUUUUCCCCCUCUUUUCUCUUUUCUCCCAGAGAGUCACGUGUGACUCAUUGAGAGUACCCGAAGAAAAAGCAUCGGCUAACUCCGUGCCAGCAGCCGCGGUAAUACGGAGGAUGCGAGCGUUAUCCGGAUUUAUUGGGUUUAAAGGGUGCGUAGGCCGCAUGUCAAGUGUGCUGUGAAAUGUCCGGGCUCAACCCGGGCCUUGCAGCGCGAACUGGCGUGCUUGAGUCGGCGGAAAGCAGGCGGAAUUCGUCGUGUAGCGGUGAAAUGCUUAGAUAUGGCGAAGAACCCCGAUUGCGAAGGCAGCAUGCUGCAGCGGAACUGACGCUGAUGCUCGAAAGCGAGGGUAUCGAACAGGAUUAGAGAAAAAAGUAGUC
rnacentral:rRNA from 1 species